GAAGGUGGAGCUCAGUGGCAGAGCACAUGCUUAGCAUGCACGGGGUCCUGGGUUCGAUCCCCAGUACCUCCA
rnacentral:tRNA from 1 species